AUGCAAGUCGAGCGGGGGAAGGUAGCUUGCUACCGGACCUAGCGGCGGACGGGUGAGUAAUGCUUAGGAAUCUGCCUAUUAGUGGGGGACAACAUCUCGAAAGGGAUGCUAAUACCGCAUACGUCCUACGGGAGAAAGCAGGGGAUCUUCGGACCUUGCGCUAAUAGAUGAGCCUAAGUCGGAUUAGCUAGUUGGUGGGGUAAAGGCCUACCAAGGCGACGAUCUGUAGCGGGUCUGAGAGGAUGAUCCGCCACACUGGGACUGAGACACGGCCCAGACUCCUACGGGAGGCAGCAGUGGGGAAUAUUGGACAAUGGGGGGAACCCUGAUCCAGCCAUGCCGCGUGUGUGAAGAAGGCCUUAUGGUUGUAAAGCACUUUAAGCGAGGAGGAGGCUACUUUAGUUAAUACCUAGAGAUAGUGGACGUUACUCGCAGAAUAAGCACCGGCUAACUCUGUGCCAGCAGCCGCGGUAAUACAG
rnacentral:rRNA from 1 species